GAGAAGGUACGCAUAAUUGGUAAUGCAGCCGGCUGUAAACCGGUCGAAUAUUAUUCACUGUAGGUUCAAGUCCUGCCCGUCUCA
rnacentral:tRNA from 1 species